AACAGAAGGACCUGGCAGCUGGUUAGAAAUGCUGGAUCUCAAUCCCAACCCAACCUAAGGAACUGGAAUCUGCAUUUUAACAAGAUGCCCUGGUGAUUUGUGUGUACCGGAGCCAUGGAAGUCAAAUGCUGAGGAUGGUGGCAUCAUAGGAUGAAUGGAGCUGGGUUCUUGAAACACUGCCUGGAGGAAAGACAGCAAAAAUGCCUCAUGAAUCCAACUGGACUGUUAGGAUGCUCACCCUUGGAGACCAGCAACAAUGUGUGCAGAAACCCAGGCCAUGUGGAGAGGCCCCACAUACGUGUCCAACUGAGGUCCCAGCUGACAGCUGGCAUUGACAUGUGAGUGAGACUCUGAACGUUCCAGCUGAUGACAAGUACAGUUUGAGCGAGCUAUCCCUGUUGGGCCUGUCAAAACUGCAGAUUUCAUGAAGAAAAUAAGUGUUGUUGACUUAAGCCAGUAAGUUUUGACAUACUAUGUUACACAGCCAUAGUAGCUGGAAGAGUGUGAAACAAAUACUAUUCUCUUGUGUCUCAUUUCUCUAUAAAGUAUAUCUUCCCCCUUCCUUGCAUAGGGAUUCUUUCUCCUUUUCUCUCAGACAGUUCUGCUAUUAUCCCUGCUAGUGAUGCUAUUACUACUUCAAAUACUAUUGUUUUUAUAUCUGUUGCUACUACUGAAAAUAAGAUAAUUUUAUAACUAA
rnacentral:lncRNA from 10 species